CUCGGUCCAGCUCUGAGUAUUUGUCCAAGGAACGCUUGUGUGUGAGAGACAACACGUCCUGCAGAAUGUCCAUCUUCCUCAGGAUUUUACACAGACUGUGAACACGCAUGGCCUCCUCGUGUCUGAUCACUGCACAGCGCAGGGUCCUGUAAAACUUGGCUGAGUGAGGGUCCAGCAGGACUGUUGACAUAGAACUGAAGGAAAGCUUUCUCAGCCUCUUCCACAUGCUGCUGUUGUUUCUCUUCACCCCCCUCCUUCUUCUCUUCGUCAUCAUCAGUAGAUGCUGGACAAAUAUAUAAGCCGAUAGUUUUUUGACCAGGACAUGUCCAGAAUAUAUGUGAUCACAGAGAGUGACAGCAGUGUAGUAAUGGGACAGUGCUCGGAAAUGUUCCGAUUUGACCUGGACCAUCGACGCCCAUGAAAACGGCACGUAGUCUUUCAUCAGCGGCUGCGUCACGGCCUGCUGCACUAACAGAAACACCAACAUGGCGGCGAUGUGCUCACUGACCCGUGUAGCUUCCUGUGCCAGCCGGAGUUGAGAUGUGAAGUGUGAAUCGCGUGUCGUGAGAGUGACGCGCUCAAAGAUGCACUCCUGCACCUGAGCAACCAUGAGCCGGACCAGCAUGCAAAGCGACGGUGCGCUCAUGUCCAGACUGGGGGCGUUGGAGAAAUUGUCCUUCAGAUCCGACCCCUGACCCCUGCCGUCCUCCAGCAGUGGCCUUCUGUUACUGAGACAGUUGGUCAGUGCAAAAGAGAACCUCAGAGAAUGUGAAGUUGCCGAGGAAGGAGGAGGAGGAGAAGGAGAGUGAACAGCUCCUACCUUCAAGGGUUACAAGUCAGGAGCUCGUGUGGAUUCAAACCCUCGACUUUUGAAUGAAAGGUCCCAGCUGAGUGAGUGUCUGGUGGUUGGUCUGGUAGAACCUCGUCUAUGGUGACCACUAUCUCCUCCGGUCUGGUGGAGCUCAGACAGUUGGAGGUGUGUUUCAAGGAUAUGUAGCUCAUCUCCAUCAGCCGUGG